GGGUCAGUGGCGUAGUUGGUUAUCGCAUCUGUCUUACAUAAUCACAUUGAACCUGUGAUUUCGAGCACAGAAGGUCUUCAGUUCGAGCCUGGAUUGACUCA